rnacentral:rRNA from 1 species
GACGAACGCUGGCGGCGUGCUUAACACAUGCAAGUCGAACGGAAAGGCCCUGCUUUUGUGGGGUGCUCGAGUGGCGAACGGGUGAGUAACCCGUGAGUAACCUGCCCUUGACUUUGGGAUAACUUCAGGAAACUGGGGCUACUACCGGAUAGGAGCUCCUGCUGCAUGGUGGGGGUUGGAACGUUUCGGCGGUUGGGGAUGGACUCGCGGCUUAUCAGCUUGUUGGUGGGGUAGUGGCUUACCAAGGCUUUGACGGGUAGCCGGCCUGAGAGGGGGACCGGCCACAUUGGGACUGCGAUACGGACCAGACUCCUACGGGAGGCAGCAGUGGGGAGUAUUGCACAAUGGGCGGAAGCCUGAUGCAGCAACGCCGCGUGCGGGAUGACGGCCUUCGGGUGGUAAACCGCAUUCGCCUGUGACGAAGCGUGAGUGACGGUAAUGGGUAAAGAAGCACCGGCUAACUACGUG